UACGAAGGUCCCAAGCGUUAUCCGGAUUUAUUGGGUUUAAAGGGUGCGUAGGCGGGCAGGUAAGUCCGUGGUGAAAUCUCUGAGCUUAACUCAGAAACUGCCAUGGAUACUAUUUGUCUUGAAUAUUGUGGAGGUAAGCGGAAUAUGUCAUGUAGCGGUGAAAUGCUUAGAUAUGACAUAGAACACCAAUUGCGAAGGCAGCUUACUACACAGUUAUUGACGCUGAGGCACGAAAGCGUGGGGAUCAAACAGG
rnacentral:rRNA from 1 species